GAUGGACGCUGGCGGCGUGCCUAAUACAUGCAAGUCGAGCGAACGGACGAGAAGCUUGCUUUUCUGAUGUUAGCGGCGGACGGGUGAGUAACACGUGGAUAACCUACCUAUAAGACUGGGAUAACUUCGGGAAACCGGAGCCAAUACCGGAUAAUAUUUUGAACCGCAUGGUUCAAAAGUGAAAGACGGUCUUGCUGUCACUUAUAGAUGGAUCCGCGCUGCAUUAGCUAGUUGGUAAGGUAACGGCUUACCAAGGCAACGAUGCAUAGCCGACCUGAGAGGGUGAUCGGCCACACUGGAACUGAGACACGGUCCAGACUCCUACGGGAGGCAGCAGUAGGGAAUCUUCCGCAAUGGGCGAAAGCCUGACGGAGCAACGCCGCGUGAGUGAUGAAGGUCUUCGGAUCGUAAAACUCUGUUAUUAGGGAAGAACAUAUGUGUAAGUAACUGUGCACAUCUUGACGGUACCUAAUCAGAAAGCCACGGCUAACUACGUG
rnacentral:rRNA from 1 species